rnacentral:rRNA from 1 species
AUUGAACGCUGGCGGCAUGCCUUACACAUGCAAGUCGAACGGUAACGCGGGGCAACCUGGCGACGAGUGGCGAACGGGUGAGUAAUGCAUCGGAACGUGCCCAGUAGUGGGGGAUAGCCCGGCGAAAGCCGGAUUAAUACCGCAUACGACCUACGGGUGAAAGCGGGGGACCGUAGGCCUCGCGCUAUUGGAGCGGCCGAUGUCAGAUUAGGUUGUUGGGGGGGUAAAAGCCUACCAAGCCGACGAUCUGUAGCUGGUCUGAGAGGACGACCAGCCACACUGGGACUGUGGCACGGCCCAGACUCCUACGGGAGGCAGCAGUGGGGAAGUUUGGGCAAUGGGGGCAACCCUGAGCCAGCCAUGCCGCGUGCGGGAAGAAGGCCUUCGGGUUGUAAACCACUUUUGUCAGGGAAGAAACGCGCGGAGCUAAUAGCUCGGCGUAAUGACGGUACCUGAAGAAUAAGCACCGGCUAACUACGUGCCAGCAGCCGCCGUAACAC